rnacentral:rRNA from 1 species
CGGGGGGAGCAAGCGUUGUUCGGAUUUACUGGGCGUAAAGGGCGGGUAGGCGGCCACCGCAAGUCAGUUGUGAAAUCUCCGGGCUUAACCCGGAAAGGUCAACUGAUACUGCGGGGCUAGAGUGCAGAAGGGGCAACUGGAAUUCUCGGUGUAGCGGUGAAAUGCGUAGAUAUCGAGAGGAACACCUGCGGCGAAGGCGGGUUGCUGGGCUGACACUGACGCUGAACUGCGAAAGCUAGGGGAGCGAACGGGAUUAGAUACCCCGGUAGUCCUAGCCUUAAACGAUGAAUGCUUGGUGUCUGGGGUUUUAUAGUCCCCGGGUGCCGUCGCUAACGCUUUAAGCAUUCCGCCUGGGGAGUACGGUCGCAAGGCUG